GUUCCUCUCGGCCAGUCGUCGAAACGUACGCGCGAAAGCUCGUCCGAUAGAGGAGCGCGCAACGCUCGGCCCUCUAGGCCUUCCCUCCUGCUGCUCGUCGGGAAGAAGAAGAAGAAGAGGAGGAGAAGGAGGAGGAAGAGGAAGAAGAGGAGAAGAAGAAAAAGAAGAAGGAACACCGGUAUUCUCCCUGUUUCCCUGGUCCUCCUACGUGCGAACACGGCGGCCAGUGAAUCAGCCCGCCUCUUCCUACAUGCGGCCUCUCGUCGGUCUUAAAAUAUUCACUAGACUUCGUGACCAGUAUCCGCGGGGGAUAUCUAGUCCUCUCUUCUUCUCUGGGUAUCCUAUCGAGAGGUAUAUUCUCCUCCUUUCGAGGGAUCGAGCAACGUAUCAUCGUGACGACGACGACGACGAUCGUCAUCGUGACGACGCGAGGGUGGACGCGGAUACCUGGCUGGUAGACACGGAUUCGCCGCACCCGCCCCACCAACUCCGCCUCUAGCGUUGCUAGAGCGGCCGCUCGUGCUCGAGCUCUAGCCUCGAGCUUCUCGGCUAGCUGGCUAGGAGCUUCUAUUUUUACCAUGGGGUGGCGAAUUGUUCCCCACGCCGCGGCGGCCCACGAGGCGGCAGCUCGAGCGGGCACAGAGGUUCGCCAAUGCGACCGGGUUCAAACCGUUUAUAAAUAGUAGGAGUUUCUCGCGCCGCCGCCACUCGCGGAAAAUCGGCGCGAUUCGAUCGCCUUCGAUUCUCGAUCAGAGUGAUGUCUUUCCUUUUGUUUAGUAUUUUCUUCUUCUUCUUCUUCUUCCAUUCAGAGUGGAUGGGUCCCUCUUCUGGUCAUUUUCUAACGGUUCGUCGUUCCCAAGCUUUCUUUGAAUCAUGGAUCCGUUUCGGAUCCGUUCGCGUGAUUCGACGUAUAUCGAGGUGCUGCUGUUCCCGAUUAACCAGCCGUCUCGUGGCACGCGUGCACGUAAAAAUUAAUGAUGAUACUUAGAAAUAGAAUUUUCUCGGAACUUGUAACGCGAUCACCGAAUCGAGAUGCGUGGAUAUAAUAAUUUUAUUGACGUCCGUUUGUGUAUAAUUCGCAUCAUUGUGUAAAUAUAUAUAUGAGCGAAUAGAAAGAAAAUAAGAUUGGGAAUAGAGAAUAUAAUUGUGUUGGGAUAUCACGGGGUGAGUGUUCAUUCAGAUUUGCUGCGAUUACUAAUUCGUACGUGGGAGAAGUUACGUGUUUGGAUGAGUCAAUGCUGAAUGAACGCGUAAGGAGAAAUAUCAAUAAUUACACCUACAUGCUUCCUUAUUCAUCGUUGGAAUAUAUCGUUCCAAAAUUCCUAACGAAAUUCGAAGAAACUUGAUACGCUCCCCAUCGAAAUGAUACCAAUCAGACCCGUUAAAAAGAAGGAAGAAAUCGAUCUUUCGAUUCUCCCCUCGAAAAGAUUAUUGCAUAGAUCUACGGAUAACGGGAUAAGAGAAGGAAGAAGAGAACGAGCAAUUGGAGAGGAGAGAAAGACCGUUGUCCUUUUCUCUUUCAACAAAAGAAUACGACGAAGUGUCUACUAGAAUGUUGAAUCCAAACAUGUGGAUCUAGAUCGAUCGAGGAAAACCAACCAACUAUAUCCACCACAUACACACAUAUAUAUCUACAUGUAUAUAUAAGGUUGCAUUUUUGAUGCUGCACACGCGAUGUCGGUCACUCGCUCCCCUCUCUGUCUCCCCUCCCCCAACGAAAACUAGGCUUCCUCGAAUCUAUUAGAAUUUACAUCGCCUCGAUGUCAACGAUCCUACGAUGUGCGAUGCGGGAGGUUAAGGCGAUGCAAAAUAGAGAAGGAUUACGAUGUCGAGGAUGUGGAACACGUAUAUGCGUCGUCCAAUACUCGUCCUCCCGCUUUUUUAUAUAACAGAAAUCAAUUAAUCGAUCACCCCUCCGGAUGCGGCGUAUCGUUUGCACGCAACGGCGAGAAAUAAUCACACGAUGCUCACACGCUUGUCGGCGCGGGCAAGGAGAAAAGAAAAGAGAGCGCUGCCACAAAGGCGGCGGUCUACCCUCAUUAUUAAAAUAACUCCUCCUAGAGGAUCGUUUUUCCUUCUAAACGAUCGUUCGUAGUGCCAACUUCUCUUCGCGCUCCCCUCCCUCCGUUCGUCCUCAUCUUCCUCCACCGAAAAAAAAAAGAAAAAAAAAUCUUCGAUCCUUCCGCGAUCUUUCCGUUGAUAAUUUUUUUUUUCAACGACGGUUUGAUCCCUGGCUCUUGGAGAAAAAAGAAAGAAGAAGAAGAAGAAGAGCGUUAACGCGCGAGAAUCGGAUCGAGAGAACACCCUUCGAGUUCCACGCAUGCCUGUUGCACCUGCGAAUCGUGCGGUCCUCGCUCGUGUCGCAGACUCGUUACACGUCCAUGCCUGUAUAUACACGUCUACAAGCGCAUCGCGGAUAUCACGCGGCCGUGACGCGGGAGGGGAGGCGGACGGGAGCACCUGAGGAAUCGCCGGUGACAACACGCGAGGGGAGAUGAUGUUGAUUCUCCCGAGAUCGAGGGAUAUGCGAUACGAUAAUGCUGCUCCUGUGUGUGUGUACAUUAGAGGAAUGAUCGUUUGAUUCGAUCUAUGCAACAGUGUACAGCUGUAUUGGCGUGUUCGUAUUCGAGAAGGAUUUAUGUAAAAAAACGAGCAGACGUUUUCCCUUAUCGUGGAUAAUUAAAAAGAAUGAUGCAAAGAAUGUUCCGCAUCGAUCCGUUAGACAACCGUUAAACGAGUAAGAGGGUAAAAAUUUAACGAAUCGCGGUGGCAACGUUUUCUUUAAUCAUCCGUGACCCGAAAUCCAAGGGUGGAAUAUGUGCGCACUGGAUGGAAAAUCGAGGUGUGGCAGCAUUUACCGGAAAAUCGAAGGCAACUACUUCUCUAAUACGCUUCGUAAAAUUCAAUAGAUUCUACUUUCGACAACAGAAACGGGUCACCCGUGAGUUUAUGCAACUAUACGUUCAAAUAAAAGAUAGUCGUUGUUAUCGACUUUGCCCAUCGAGCUAUGGUUACCGGAUGAAGAAAGAUCAGAUCAGUUCCGGUUUGACGCUAUUCUUCAGAAAGCAUAUUCAAUUUUCUGUUCUAAUUAAUAAAAUUGCAUAUGAAUUUCAUAUUUAAGCUAUAUGUAUAUGUUUUAUGCGCGAAUAUAAAAAUUUUACGUACUUUAUUUACGAGACUUGAUACAUAAUUAUAUGAUUAAUAUUGAUAGAUAAAAAAUUGCUGCUGAACCAAUGUAUCUUCAAACGAUAAGUUGCAUUCCUUUUAAUACAAGUGAUUAAUUAUUUAUUUAAAUAUAUAUAUAUAAUAAAUAAAAGAUUAAAAUAUAGAUAAAAUUUGAAUUAAAUUUAAAAUAUUUUUUAAAAAAUAAAUUUUAUUAAAAAAUUCUAGUAAAUAAUUAAUAGAUUUCUAUUUUUAUAUUUAAUCAAAUUAAAAAAUGUUAACAAACAGUCUACUUGUGGCUAUUUUGUGAUUGUUCUUCGCAUAAAAUAAAAGUUAAAAUAUUUUAAUAUAGAUAUAAAUAAAAUUAAUUAUUAAAAAGUUAUUAAUUAAACCAAAUGCUUUCGUCAUGUUUUAAUAUUCUUUAAUUUAGAUGUAUUUUUCUUUUAUAUCCAUUUUUAUUUUAAAUAUUCAGUUUUAUCUUUCGAUCUUUUUAAUUUGAUUUAAUCAUUUUUGUAUUAUAUUAAUUAUAAUAAUCUACUCUUAUUUCAUUUUUAAUUAACGUGCCUUUAUAAGAUUUUAUAAAUUUCAAUAUAUAAAAAUCAACGUUUAAAUAUAUUCUAUUAUACGUGAAUUUUUGCGCGGCUGAAAUGAAUAAGAACUGUGCCGCUUCAGCCAAUCAGAAAGCUGCUAAGGCCCGGUAAUUAGACGAAUCAUAUAUGGCGUCAGUUUACUGUCAAGAAUCGCGAUGAGAGGAUAUAUUACACCGACUCAGGUAAUUGUGAAAUUUGAUAUCGUAAUAUAAUUUAUGAACUACUAAUCUUUUUGUUUAAUUUAUUUAUAUGUGUUUAAUCAUUUAUCAAGUAUAACUAUACCAAAAUUCAAUUGUCUUUUUUUCCUUAUUGUUCGCAUAUUUUUCACUUAGUCAUUCGUCAGUAGUUUGUUAUAAAUAUUAUAUGUGUUAUAAGCAUCUGAAGCUGAAUUAAAUUUAAUUAUUUUAAUGUUAUUCCAAUUUUAUAUAUUUGUUUCAUGGUUCUAACUUUUAUUUAUACAGAUUAUCAUUUCAUUACUUCAAACGUGUAAUAGGUUAUGCACUUAUUACUUUCAUGCAAAUAGUAAAUAAUAUAAUAGUAAAAUUUGACUUAUUUUAACAAAAAAUGUAUAAUAAUUAUUAUAAAUUUUGUUUUUCUAUUUAUAUAAAAAUAAAAGUAAAUUAAAUCGUUUUAAUUAAUUUUAUUUAAUACAUAUUUUAUAAACAUAUAUUUUGUAAACGUAUCUUCGAGUGUUCAAUUCGUCCUAAUGUUUUUGUUUCGACUUUACGUUCAAGGUUUCUUAUAAUUCCUUUUCUGAGAAAUUAAUGAUUUGUUUGUAUGUAUAUGCUCGGUAUGUUUUGAUUUCUUGCUUCCGUACAAAUCGUCGACGCGUCAUUUUGCUAUCGAAAGUCGUGGCGUUUGGACGUUUCGCUUCGCAGAUUAUCGAUUGGUUAUUGGGAUAAUCUACAAAGCGAGAAAAAAUUUCAAUAUGGACACUAACAACCAUUCGACGUGAAAAAGUGAAAAUUUUUGUGAUCACGCGCAAUGUGAUCGAUAGAAUCAGUGUUUUUUCGUGAUAUUUCGUAUUUUUAGAACACAAUAAGCUUUAAGUAAUUUAAAAUAAUCAUACGCGAAAUUAGAAUCAGUGUUUGUUUGCCAAUUAUACGCCAGAUAUAAUGAAAACAUAAAUAGUUUUUUAUUUUUAUUUUUUUAUUUUAAAAGUUCGUUUUCGGUGUAGAAUCAGUGCUUCUUUUAAGAAAGUAAGAAUAAAUUAUCCAUCAUGCAAAGAGAAGUAGGAAAAUCACAACCAGAAGCAUGGAUCUGCUCAGCGUAUCCUUUCGAUCGAUGGAUCUGGAGGCGAAGCCCCAACAAGAAGACUUUCUCGAGUUGGAGAGUAUCAUCGAGAAGGAAGAGUCGUCGGAGAAGUCGAGGCUAAUAUUGGAGGGCGAAGAAUCGCUCGAUGAUGAAGAGAAUUUGAUAAAGAAUUUGAGGACGAUCAAUUUGAACGAAGUUGCCUGGCACGAUACCGUCGACAGUUGUUGGAUCGUGAUUCAAGAUUUUGUGUACGAUUGCACGGAUUUCUUGAAAAGCCAUCCCGGUGGAUCUGACGUGAUACUCGAAUACGCUGGCAGAGAUGCGACCUUGGCCUUCAUCGGCACUGGACACUCGUCUGCAGCGAUUCACAGCUUAAAGAGGUACCUCAUCGGUGAACUUCCGGUUGAGGAGAGGAUCUUUCGUGUACCGAAUGGCCUAAAAAUUUCUGCCCCUUAAUAUCGAUAUUCGGAUACGAAACGAAAGAAAUUUUUCUUAUAAUUGAUUUAUAUGUGUAUCGUAAUCUCGAUAUUCGAACGUGAUUUUAAAUUCGAUCUGAAUUUCGUUAAUCCAGUAGAAUUGGCGUGAGUUUAUUCAUUGUGACGAUGUGGACAAUCAUCGAUUAGAGACAGAUUAGAAGAAGGGAUCGAAGUUUAAAUCGAUUAAAGUUUUAAAAGGUGGUACGUUUAGUUUUACGAAGGAUUUAAUCCGUAUCGUUGCCGUCCUUUUUGUGCAUCAAAUGAUGACUAUAUUAAGUUUUUCAAGUUCCUUUUUUUUUGGGGCAUUUUUUUUUUUUUUUUGUUUUUUAAUCGAUAAGAAACGAGAAAUAUUUAAUUUAAAUGGAUAUUAUCCGAUGUAUUUAAAGAUUUGAAGAUGAAAGUAAGCAUGAAUUGUGAAUUGUGACACAGAUCUCUAUUCUCAUAAAAAUUUAUUGCGAAAUCGAUAUCUUGAGAAGAAAGUGUAUCGAGUAAUAAUAUUUAAACAUUCGAUAUUUCGCAUUUUUCAUACAAAAUCAGAAUCGUUUCUCCGAGAUAUUGUUUGAUAUUUUUUUUUUUCGUAUUAUAUAAUUAUACGCGAAUUGAUAUUGGAAGUUGAAACAUUUUUAUUGUUAUACUAUACUUUAUCGCAUUUUAGCUGUUUAUAUUUACUAUUUAUCGUGUAGAAAAUGCAAUUUAAUACGUUGAUUUAAUACGCCGAUCACAGAUGACAUCGAUACUUCCAACUUCAUUCGUAUCACAUUCGAUUGAAAAAUGUGACAUUUUUUCCUUUAUUUUUUUUUCUUUUUGAUAAUGGAAUUUGUAAAUUAAAUUAUUUUUUUAUUUUUUUUCAUUUCAUUUUUUCUCUAUCAUAAUAUUUAUAUUAUAUUUAUAUUUAUAUUUUGCAUUACGAAAUGUUUAACGUCGAAUCAUACAUAUCUCGAGCUCGAAAAAAAAUACUACAUGUUACAAUUAACGAAGCAAUGUUGAAUAAUCAUUUCUCCAAAUCACAAUAUAUCGUGCAUUCAAACACGUGACAAAAUAGAGAUGGACAAUUAAGACACUUUCUCUCUCACGAACGAUUUAUCGGGCGCAUGAUUCCAAGUGGAAUUGAAAUAGCGAUAACGAAUCGGUUUGAUUAUCAUUCCGUUGGCGGACCACUAAUAGAGGGCCAAUAUCCUCGAUUAAUCGGUGCAACAAUCGGGAGAAAACGCGGGAUUCAUACUUAAUUAUGGCGAUUUUUAUUCUUAAUUUCAACGUAUGAUAACGAGAAAUUUAAUUAUUCCUCAUCGUCCGAAAUACUGUUGCAUCGCCCUGUAUCUCUCCCUCGUUUAGAAUUGGAAUAUUAACUAUAAUACGAAUAAUAAUUCGAAAUAAAAUUUGUGCGACAUUACUGAUGAUAUGAAUUUUUUCUUGAUAAUAAACAUAUCUUGUUAGGUCUCUCGUUGAUUUCAAAAUUUAAUCGAUUAUUGAAUGAGUGAAAGAUGAUAUCGAGAAAUGUUUAGAAAACAGCAUGCUAAUAAAUUAUUCUAUCUGUAUGAUAAUUCUUACGUUGGAUUUGAUUCUCAACCUCUUUUUAAUUUGUCUUCUUCCAUAUUUGUACGAGUUUUGUUUCCAUCCUAUUUUUUUUUAUUGUAUUUUGUGAAUUCUUGCAUCGUUAUUUUUUCCUUUUUUUUUUUUUUUUUGCUUUCAUCUAUCCACAAAAUUUCAUCGAAAAAUCUUAGUUUUUUUUGGAAGAAUUAUUUUAUUCUUAUCAAAUUUUGUAAUUCGUAAUCCAAUUUUUUUCUUUACUUAAAAUUUCCUUACAUCUUCCUUCGAUUUUCCUUCAUCUCUUAAUACAUAUUUUUUCCUCUCUAACUUCGAUAUUUCCCCGCAAUUAUAUUUAAUAUCGUUAUGAAUCAUUGUACCAAUUGAGUGUAAAUACAUUUUUGUCCGGGUUAUUGCGAGAAGUGUUUCGUUCUUUAAUUAGACACCGUGAAAUUAGACACCGUGUCUGCGAUCUCAACCUAAGAUAUGUAAGUCACGUCUUUGUGAUCAUUUUACAUCGUUCCAACUUACCUUCUCUCCACGUUCGCCACGUUAACAGUCUUCGCUCAGUUUUCUGUAUGUAUCGGUUAAAAGUAGACGUAUCGCAUUGCGUUCUAUAAUAUGCAGAAUAAUUCAUUAAUGAAUAUCCAUGCUUUGGAAUUGUGAAUAAAUUAAAAAAAAGAAAAAAACUUUUCAACUAUCGAAACUCUUUUGCAUAUCUAACAAUAAUAAGAUCAAUCUGUAGACAUACAUUUUCUAAAGUACAGACAUAUAUUUACGAAUUAUUUUGUACAUUGGACGUAAGAGUACGAUUACACGAUUGAAAAUAAGAAUCAAUCUAAUUUCUACUUUUUCGAGAGAAACACUUUAGCAAAUAUAAAUAUCUCAAAAAAACGAAUCGAAUCGAAACUUGAGAAUAUAAUCGGUUAUAAUAUUUAUGAAUUCCUAUCCUAUAUUCGUAAUAUACAGAGAGAAAAAAGAAGACGAAGAGGAAGAGAAAGGGAAAUAAAAGAUAGUCACACUUUUUUUUUUUUUACACCGGUACAUUAUAUUUCUUGGUCCUCUAAACAUUCAUAAUAUACACAACAUACAAUACGACAUAGCGGUUUUCAGCUUGUUUAGUUUCUCGUUCGAGCGCGGUACCGACAGAACGAUAUUAACGAUGCGCUUAGUUUCUUAUCUUUUUUAUUUUUGUUUUUAUUUUUCUCCUCUCCUUCGCUCGCGAACGUUGCUUUUCUCUCCGCCUUCGUUUCACUUUCGAAAUGUUUAAGUGGUAGUUAACAUCUAUCGCGCGUCCUCGAUCUCGGGCAGGAGAUAGAUCAACAUUCAUUGGGAAUCAGUAGCGAAGUGUAUACACCAUGAUGAGAAAAAUAUUUCUAUAUCGGAGUAUAAUAAUGCGUCUACAUAAGAUACCAUCGUAGAUUCUCUUCUUUUUUUUUUUUUUUUUUUUUCAUUUUUAUCUUUGUUACAUCUUCGUUUUAUCUUCUUAACCGCUCAUUUACAACGCUACAUCUUUUUAUUUUUUCUUAAUUCUCAGUAUUUGAAACGCUUGUCCGCAACGUGAUGUUUUUCGUUUACGCUCAUACCUUCGUUUCACGAUUUAUCUUCCUCUCCAUUUCGCUUUCGAUUCAACUUUAAUAAUCGAAAUAAAUUAUAUUUGCUAUCCAAGAAGGAUUCUUCAAUCAUCAAUUAUUCAGGAGGAAGGUAACGUUUUUUUUUUUUUUAAUCUUGAUGAAGUUUGGAAGAAUCGACAAGUAAAUAAAAUAGGCAUAAUGGAAGAAAAUAUCCAUCCGCAUGGACACCGGAAGUGGGAGAAUCGUUCGAAAUGCAAAAUAAAUUAUCAAACAGAAGAGAACGCGAUAUUUAAGGACGCGAGACGAGAGAAGACGGGAGAUGGAUCGUUGAAACGAAAGUCGAAAACACGGAAAUUGAUCACGAAUUAAUCUCGUGCGGGAGAACCUAUGCAUUUUAGAAGUUUCUCGCUCUUUGGCAGUCCUGGGUUCCAUUCCCCCCUGCGAUUAAUUACGCUGGAAGCCACGAUGCUCUAAGAAAUAAAUAUCUCGUUUUCGUAAAACAUCAUUGUUACAUAUUUUUUUUCUUCUUUUUCUUUUUUUUUUUUCUUUUUUUCUUCUUUUUACAUUUAUUAUCUCUUAUCGCGUAGAACGAUAGUGUGCGCUUAGACGUACAUGUGUCGUCGGAACGAAAGGUGAUCCUUUCCUGCCGCUGCGACGUAACGAAGCACUCUUAUUAUUUAGUUGAAACUCGCGAUCAAGUGGUUGGUUGGGGCUGGGCUCAGCGAAUUCGUCAGGUCCGCUGGAAGUCGAGGAUCUCGAGUCUCGCGGAAGCAACUCGAAAGAGGGAUGAAGCUGGAUGAGAAGAGUACUCGACAGCGAGCAGGAGAAUCACACGCGUAAAAUUGGACGAGAUUAAACCUGGGGCACGGACAUUUCAACAAAGUUUCGAACUCGUGCAAUUUAUUAACGAAUAUUAACGCAUUUUAAAAAUUAUUUAAGAAUGGGAACAAAAAAUUCGACCUUUAUUUCCAAAAUUCAAUAAUACAAAUUCGUAAAAUCACACGAAUAUAAUCUUUUUACGAUUACAAUCGCGAUAUAUCCGUAUUAAAUAAAUCGAAAUUGUUUAAUUUUAAAAGAUUCGUGUCCCAGGAUCAAUACCAGCCAAGCGUUAGAAGCGUUUUCGAACGGAAGAAGCGGAAUUUCUAACGCGUCUGAAUUUAUACUUCCCCCUCCCCCUUUCUUUUUCUUUCUUCCACAAUCAAUCAAAGGAGAAUCACGAUCCCCUCCCCUCCGUAAAAUGGUUCCAACGAGACCGAGCCCAACGUCUGGUCGACAUUUUCGAGGGUGCUUUGAACGUGUUUGCUCGCGAGGGAGGGGAUGAAUCGACGACGCGUGUAUUAUCAUCCGCAUCCCCGUUAAUUUUACACGCGAAAAUGAUUUGAUUGACGAUUUUUCGUCGCUUGGGAGAUGAAUCGAUGAAUCGAUUGUUGAUAAUUUUGUGGCCAUCCACGCGCGGAUGGUUGAAAAGUCGAAGCGCGCUCGAAGCUAUCUCGAUAACCAAUGAGGGGAGGGGGAUCAUCAUUGUGAACCGAAAUUUGUAUUUGAAUUUUGCGCGGAUGAGUAACAAGGAAGGAACGAUGCUCUCGUUUCUUUCUUCUUAUUUAAGAGAAAGGAUAGUCGACAGGAGAAUCGUGGUUGUUUUCACACGAUUUACGUUUCAAUCCGUUGGAAAGAUUUUGAAAUUUUAACACGCAUUUCUUACACGACGCUUGCUUGCGAAAAUACAAUAUCUUUUUUUCGAAUCGCUUCGCGACUACGUAGAGAGUGUAGAGUUGGAUAUUCAGGGACGAUGGUAAUAAUUGUUAUUAUGUACAGUGUAAUAAUAACGAUUUACGAAGUUCUUAACGACUAUCUUACAUCCUUACCUCGUCCUAAUUUAAAUCUACACGCGAUAUCCCCGAGAUAAUACUGUCUUUAAAUUUUCAAUCGAUUAUAUACCAUUGUUAUUUUCUUUUUCCUUUCUUCUUUAACUAAUAUUUCUAAUUUUCAGAUUUCCGACGAGGAAAGAAGAGAAUUAAGAGGAAAGAAAAACCGUUUUAACGCAAAUUUUUAAAGACAGAAUUCCGGGGAAUGGUGGAUCCCCGCCCGAAGAGUAUGUAUUUACAAUUACGAUUAUACGUCCUCCGGGCGAAAUCGCUCGUGCACUCGAAUGGUAAAGUAGAUUUCUCUUAAACUCUACGAACCGGCGGACGCGAAUUACGAGCCGCCUGUCGUUGCUAUUUAAAUUACGUUACGGAGUAAAGUCGGCGCUUUCCACGAGGGGACAUCGUGUCGAGUCGAAACACGAUAAUAAGUCCGACACACGCCGGAUUUUACCCGGUUUCCAAUCCCCUCCCUCUCCUUUGCACCGACUUUAAAUUUACACGCUACUUGUUUACUUUGUAUGUCGUUAGGACAACCUAGAUUCGUAGGUUCGUAGCGCCUAGAGCGCGUUCGUUACAUUACUUAAUUACGUUCCUAAGGCUCUAAUACGGUGCGUCGAGUGGCUCGAUAACUUUACACGAUUAAUCAUCACGUUAUUUACCGCCACACGCGUGAAUUAUUCACGAUGGUUACGAGGCUAGCGAGGAUUAUUAAAUUACAAUUAAUCAUCGGAGGAUGAUUAUUCAGCGAUUAUUCGAGAAUCGCGCGUUUCUUUUUUCCUCGAGUUUUCGAGUUUGAAUCGAAAGUUUUAUUAUUCGUUUAUCCGCGGUGUAUUCGGUGAAUUAUUGUUAUAACGUCGUUCGUUCUCUCGACGAGUUGGAUGAUCGUUUGGCGAUAUAUUGCAAGAAUCCUGUCAAUCAUCGAGAUACUUUUUUUCUACGCUCGGAUAAUCGACUCGUUGAGAUCGAAAAUCAUUGAAAUUUUGUUAUUUCGAUCUUUUUUUUUCCGAUACAGCGUUUCGCAGAGAAUUCGUGGAGAAUCGUUUCGAGGAAACGUUUGAGUAUUGUUACAGGAGUAAUUUGUUAAAAAUACUUUCCAUCUCAAGGGAAAACUGUUUGAACGAAGAACGGAACCGGUUUAUUCGCGUAUCACGCUCGAAAGUAAUUUGAAAUUAAACGCGAGAAUCAAAGACACAUAUUUAUUUACGAUCAUUAUACGAAUGCGGACACGUAAAAAUCGACACGUUUCUCCGUCUAUAUAGAAAUUAACUGUAAAAAUUUGUAAUAUUCGUUAUUUAAACACUUUUAAAUCGACGACGAUAAAUUACGUUAUUAAUAACUAUAAUGAUCUACGAAUGUCGAGGAUGGAAAUGAAAUUUUUCAAAAUUGAAAAAACGAGAUCUAUUUCGUUUUUCCAUCGAUUUUUUUUUUUUUUACCAAUUGAAAGAAGAGGAAAAUUGAACGUUGGAACGAAAACUUAUCGUGAAUCGAUGGCCUGGUUGUACCGAGCACAAUGUUUUUCUCUCGUUUAUCGAUAAAACAGUGUAGAUGAAAACCAGACAGAUUGAAUUCCAUUUCGAAACGAUGGUCGAGGAGAUACGGGUUUACAAGUUAUUUCUUCGAUGUUUCCAUUGAAUCGGCUUCCAUGAUUUCCCUCGCAAUCGAAAGCUUGCAGAAUAUCGUGCCUUCAUGCGUAAGGAAACAUCGUGUCUGGAAACACUCUCGCCGCGGAUGAAUAGAAGCCAUCAUCUACUGGCUAUAAAUUAUAAAUAUGCACGAGGUGUCCCUUGAAUGGAAUCGAGAAGAUUUUUCGAUAUUAACGACUCGAAAUAAGAGAGAAAAAAAAGUAACAUUUAAAAUUACUAUCGUAUAACAUUCGAUUAAAUAUUUAUACAUCUGAAAAAAGAGGCGAAUAAGAAUCAUUCCCCUCUCGUCCCCGUCUCUAUAAAAUCUCUCUAACUCUAUUUCUCUCGCGAAUUACCAGACACCGUGUAUGAUAACGUGAAAACCAGUACCGAGCUAUACAAAAAUCCAUAGCAUUUACACUUGCCGUACACGUGUCGUUCUAAAUGCCUAAUGCGAAAUCAUAAUCCCAUUUGCAUAAACAAUCGGAUGGGACAAACAUCGGAUGAUCCAAUGGCAGAAUGACCGUAGUACCGUUCGAAUCGGGACGAAUUCGUACAAAAGAUCCGGACACGUUGGAAACAAGAGCGCAAAAGUUGUAGAUAAAAUAGAAUUCUAUCGAUAGUUGAAAUAAAAAGGAGAUCUAUUCGUGCCACGUGAAAAUUAGGCCUGCAUUGUUACGAAUCUUUCUCCGUCGCAUCCCCCUGAUCAAACUUAGAGUUGUGUUAUCAGGUACAAAUCGUGUAAGAAUACCUCUUCGCUCCAAUCAAUUUUUUACUCGAUAAAACGAUUGUAACUGAAGAUAUUUCGCGUUUAUAUCAAUUUGGCUUGCAGCAAGACUAAAUUCAGAGACUUCAUUAUUCUCUCCGUUUCAUUGAAUCAAGAAAUAUUUCGUUUCUAUAUGGAAUGAAGACGAGUCGUCGAAACCUGAGUUAUCCUCGAACAUUCCGUCGUGAGCAACGAAUGGAAUUGCCAUAUCAACCGUUCAGCUAUAACUGCUCGAGGAAAGAUUCGCCACGUGGAAAAAGAAUUUCGAAGGAGAAUAUAUGUAUAUAUAGAUAUGCGGAAGACGGAGUCCUUUGCUGAAGAAACUCUUAAUAAAUAAAACCACGAGAGCCAGGGGAGAGACUGCGUUUAAUUCAAUCGAUUAUUCUAUUUCCAUCCAUUAUUUAUCGCUAUCUAUGUUAAAAGAAUCGUUCACAAGAUCAAUUGGACUACUUCUCGGGGACAAAGUCCAUUGUAGUAGAUCAUCAACACCUGCGACGACUUUGUUUUUUUCGAAUAAAAUUACCUUGAAAAAUUCGUCCAAAUCCCUCUCUGGUCGUCCCACACGGAUUACUCCUCUCGAUCAAGCAAUUAAUUAAUCGAUCGCAAAAUCAUUUUUUCAUUCCAUCUCCGUCGAUGAAGAUAAAGAAAAGAAGAUAAGAAGGGGGAAGUUAAGAGGGGAGGGAGAUCGAUACGAAAGGGAUUUGUCGGAGGGGAACUUUGACACAGGGCUUGGCUUCGUUGCAUCCACGAUUUUCUUCUUCCCUUCUCUUCGAACGGUGACCUCGAAUAAACGAGGGGGAAAAAAAAAAGAUUUCGUUCCUGGGAUCAUCCUUCCUCCCCCUCCGUUCUCUGGGACAUCGGUGGCAGGCCGAGGCCUGCUGAUUACAUCAGGCUGCACAAGGCUAUCCCGUUCUCGAACGCCGAUUGCAGCGCGGUCGUUUCCAUGCAGAACGCGCCGUCCUCGUACAUGGUCGCGAUUCUCUGCUGUUGCACGCGGCUCUCGCUCUGGGACCUGAAAUCGGGGGUGAGAUUUACGUUUCUCACGCGGCUUAUAAAUGGAUACGUAUUGGAAAUGAAAUUAAAAUUAAAAUAUCCUUAACUUGUAUUCAAGAAUUUGGAAAACUGUCGUCUAAAUCUGUUUGUCUGAAGAAGAAGAAAAGAGCCAUGCCCACGCUUAAGCGGAAUUCGACUCGACGAAAUGGGGGAAAAGGGGAACGAGUGGAAUCUAAUCGUGUCGCAAGCCUGGAAACACUCACCUGGGAGGCAUGGCCCGUGGACGUUGCUGCGUCCUCGCUUGUUCCCUCGAGGCUUGCUGAUUCGAGAGAUAGCUGCUGUCUCUGAGCACGGUUCCCUGGUGGUGGUGGUGGUGAUGAUGGCCGGCCGGCCUGUCGUUGUUUUGAGAGAGCGACAAUUGAGCCAGGUAUUCCCUCAGCUCUGGUUGACUUGCCAACAGUUCGCGGCGAGUUUGAACUGUGGGCGCGGUGGGUGUCGACGUGGCGGUCGACGUGGAGUCCGACCAUGGCGGCGGUGGUGUAUGGGAACGAGAGAUCAUGGCGUACCUGUGGCACAAGUAUUCCUCGUAGGUGGGCGGGAGGCCGGUCUGGAAACAUUUAUUCUUUUUUCCAUUGGUCUUCCUUUUCGAGCAAGCAGGCAGAUUCUUUUUUUCAAUCGGGGGAGGGUUUCUUUUCUAGGUUUCGUUUUCGAUCGAUCGUCGAGAGGCCGUAUUGUUGUUACUGUUGUUGUUGUUAUUAUUAUUAUUAUUAUUUUCUCGUUAACGAGGAUAACGGGAGAGUGGAUUUAUUGUCGUUGAUUAUUCGUAUUGUUCCCGUUUAAUUGGUUAAAUCUCUCUAUCGAGGAAGAGUCGAAAGAGAAUCGGGGAGGAAAGCCGUGGCAAGUUAGCAAGUUAUCUCGCGAUUUGAUAAUUAACGAAAUUAUUGCGAAUUUGUUGUUAUCCUGAGAAUCGUUUGAUUGGAAAUUGGAAUUAUUUUCCCCCCCUCUUUCUCUCUCUCGCUUUGGAAACUAGAAAGCGUGGGAUCGCAGAAAGUUAUUUUUCUAAUUUCAAUUGUUUGGGAAAAUGAAGGGAUUAAAUCGUAAGUGAUUUAAGUAUCCGUUAUAAUAAUUUUUAAAUCAAACUUGCAGGGAGCAACGAGCUAGCAACGACAAAUUUCUUUGGAAUUUAUCCGAGAGAAAAAUUUCCCGAUUGAAAAUCGAAGCAAUAAUCGCGUUGCUCGGCGCAAGAAUGUCACGUAUAACUCUCCAACUUACUUUGGCCCUCAUUCCAACACAUUCUUUUUCAUUUAUUUUCUUGCACUGGAAAAAUUGUAUCUCGUUUCACUUCUGUCGUAAUCAUCGUCCCUUUUUAACUCCUUUACACCCUAUCUUUAUUUUUCAUAAACACGAAUCGUACAAAAAUUGUAUUUCAUCUUAUUUCCACCGCAAUUAUCAUUGUAUUCAUCCAUAUUACUUCAAACUCUCGCUCCUCUUUAACGUCAUCUGCGAUCCUGCGAUCGACGACCAUCUUCGUCCGAUGGGAACAAUCAACCGUUGGAGGUCCAAUCCCGACUCGAGUCGGAGAUGGUGAAAAACGGAGGAAGGGAUGGAAAUGGAAUCGGAAAAAUAAACGAAUCCGUUCGCAAAACUCGAAACGCGCGCGGCGAUGGCGUCGGUUGUCGGGACUUUGAAGUGGGUACGGGGCUGUUUUCCGCCGCCACGAAAAUUUAUGUGUCGGCCGGCGCCUGGAAACUAUGCGGUCGAUGAAAUGGCCGGGCGGAAAAUUGAACGAAUGGUUCUCGAGUCAAGGGGCACCUCUCAACAAUUUGCCUGCCGUUCCUGCGCGACCUUCCCCCCCUCUCCUUUUCCUCCCUCACAGAAAUCGUAAUUCUUCUUUCCUUUUCUUUUUUCUUCUUUAAUUCGAGUAUUUUAUAUCGAAACCCCAGGAGGAGGAUCGGUUUAUUCGAAUAAUCGAAUAUUCAGCGAACAAGACCCGGCAGUGGAUCGGGAGUUUUGAAUAUUCAAGCAUUAAUUUCACUGUCACUGGAUUACACUCCCACACUUGCAAUGUGUAUAAUUCCUCCGCGUUGUAUCGUUAAAAAAUAUAUUUAAAAAAAUGACGAAUCAUCCCGAUCCAUAUCUUCGUUUUAAUAUUUAUAACUCGAGUUAUGAUUAACGAUUGUUGAAAAAAGGAAAGAAAAUGAGAGAAAUAUUGAAAUCGUGGAGGGACAGGCUGUUUCAAUCCCGCACUGAUGGAAAACGGAUGGGUCUCACGAAUUUCGUUGGUGAUCGUGGACGAGAAAUAUUCCUCGCGUCCAAUCAGCGACUCGAGCGUCGUGUAAUUAACGUCGUCGGCUCGUUUACACGAGGGGAGGGGAUGCGCAAGGAUCGAUCGUCGGGUCGACAAGUCGACGAAAACCUUUGACGACCGCGGUUGGUCCAGGAUUUCGAUUCUGUCUGGGAUGCCUGACCGGGACAGUUCAUUACUACUACUACGAAGGUUAAAUCUGCUCGAACGACGGACGAUCUCUGAUUUCAUCGCCGCACAUCGAUACAUCGACACAUCGUUCGCUGUUCAAUUUCGCGACGACACGACCGACCGCAAGCCACCAUUCUUGUUCCUUUGAAAACGAGAGAGAGAGUGGAAUAAAAAGACUAGGGGGUUAACAAGGUAACCGGACAAGUUUCGAUCAAAGAGGAUUUUGGAAACGACGCGAUUAUUUAAAAAUGCUUGGAAAGAGUUUAAGGAGGAUAUUCGAGGGGAACUUAUUUGAAAGAAGUGAAAUGGAAUGAUAUUUUGACGAACAUGGAUUUUUAUUUGUACGAAGCCUAUUACGCAAAAUAAAUAAAUAAUUAUCCGUGCAACAAUUGGCUGAAUUAACUUGCAAAUUGAUUCAUCAGCGUCGAUUUUUGCCAUUCGAUGGUUCAAGGGGAUCAGCAUGUAAAUUAUACAAUUUAUUAUACGUUUAAAAACGAACGAAAAGUUUGAAAAAUAAAAUCACGAGUUUUUUACUUUUUUAAUAUAAUUCGCAAUUUUAAUUUUUUUGAUGAUCUCGAAUAACGAAGGAAGGAAAGUGUGUUGUACAUAUGUACAUAUAUGUUUCCACUCUCGUCACAUUCAAAGUAACACCGUUAAUUACACGACUUGCUCGUUAUUUCUCGAAACCGAUUUCGAAGAAGAUUAAUAAUAAACGCUUACCUGCCAUGUUUUCGAGAUGGCCACGUCGUAGGUGGGCGGUGGCGACACCAUGGAGGGAAUGGCGUAUACCGGCCUGCUUUGCGCGUUUAAUUGACCAUUUCCGGUUUCGUUGGCGGUCGCGUUCGCCGUGUCUGGAAUGGUGGCGUACAACGCCUCCGGGAUAGCGUUCUCCCUUAUCCCACCGCCAAGAAUGCUCGAGCCGGACUCUGGAAACGGGACGAUCCGAAAAGAGAGUUCCAAGAGUUUUGGAGAGGGGGAGGGGGAGGAAAUUUAAAGUUCGAAGAAGAAGAAUCGUGGCAAAGAACGGCCCGAUAUCGGGUUACAGAAUCGCGGCAUUGUCCUCCCGACGAGUGUGCCGGAUAGAUACGAUUUCUGUCGGAGAAAACUUUUUGAUAAAUUCUCUUUGUUCGAACUUUUGCCAAUGAUGAAUUUUUGAUUAGCUGUACAAUUGUUUCCUUUUUCUUUUUUCUUAAUGAAACGAUAGUUUAUUAUAGUGAAUAGGAAAUUUCUCGUUCGAUCUAGAAUUAGAAUCUUCCCUUUUAACACGCACGGUAACUGUCUCAAAAGAGCAAUGAUAUAUAUUUCGUAAAGAAAUUAUCUGGAAAUUAAUAUUGGAUAUCGAUAAAAUUCCGAUCUGCGGUGAAUUCUUUUUUCUAAAAAUUUUUGCGUAUCCAAUGAUCGAUCGAAUAAGAAAUAAUAGGAAUCGAACGAGAAUAGUUAAUAUCGGUAGUUGGAGAAUAAUUGGAUGCACGAUUCGAAAUUUACGCUUGUUUUCAUUCAUCGAAAGAUGAAAUUUUUACCGACCUAUGUAAGUGUAGUGCGACUCCGCCCUGUCGGCGCUCCGGGUCCUCCUCGAGUGAUUCAAACGCUUCUCGUGUUUGCUGCUCUUCGUAACCGGCCUGGCUUGCUCCGUCACCGAGCUGCAACUUCCCGUUUCGGAAGUUCUGCUCUUCCCACGAGCGUCGUCCUGCUUCUUGGCAGCCCGCCCGUCCGAUUUCCCACCCUUCGACUUGGGUAUUCUGAUCGUGAGCCGUCUCGAGGACAGCGCGCCAUUUCGCGACUUCGGCAGAUCGACCACCACCCCGCACCCGCACACUGGCGCGUUCUCGUUAGGCAUCCUGCAAAAACACGUCGAAAUCUCGUUUCAAAUAGGAGUAUGCUCUUUUCUUUUUUUUAGAAUAAAGAGUACAAAGUAUAAAUAAACGUGUUGUGCUUCUGCACGCGUGGCUCGUAAUUUUUAAAGCAAGAGUAUAAAUUUAUUAUCACGCGUGCAAGAGUCAUCGUGUUAUACGUUCCCUCCUGUGUCAUGGAUUUUGGAGAAAAUUGUUCAUCGUGGUAAGGUAAAAUUGUUUAAAGCAAGAGUCGAAAAGUCGAUGUGUGUUUCUACCUUCGUAAUUUUUCCCUCCUGUGUAACGUCAUGGAUUUUGAACAGUGGACAAAAUUGUUUAGAGUCAUCGUCACGAAUUCAAAGUGGGUAAAAUUGUUAGAAAUUGCGAGAAAAGCGCAAGCAUCAAAAGAACGUUGAAAAAUCGAUGUGUGUUUCUACCCUCGUAAUUUUUAAAGCAAGAGAAUAAAUUUAUUAUCACGCAUACAAGAGUCAUUUCCCUUCUGUGUAACGUCAUGGAUUUUGAACAGUGGACAAAAUUGUUUAGAGUCAUCGUGUACGUCACGAAUUCAAAGUAAAAUAAGGUAAAAUUGUUUAAAGCAAGAGUCGAAAAAUCGAUGUGUGUUUCUACCCUCGUAAUUUUUAAAGCAAGAGAAUAAAUUUAUUAUCACGCGUGCAAGAGUCAUCGUGUUAUGCGCAGCGUCACGAAUUCAAAGUGGGUAAAAUUGUUUGGAGUAGAGAUUGCGAGAAAAGCGCAAACGAUCAAAAGGGCGUUGAAAAAUCGAUCACACGUUCCGUUACGCUAAAUUCCAGCCGAGCAGUCGGUCGGGAAUCAUGGUAUUCUCCGUAACCGCUCGCACGUGACAGAGCAGUCCAUUUUUGAGCAGUGGACCGAAUCCUACGAUGUUGGACGAAUCCCUACAAUUUCCAUUUCCCUUGAAAGCUCGAGAAUGGGGCGCGAUCAUUCACUGAUCCACUUAUCGGUAAUUUGACGAUAUAAGCGAUCCUUCUAAACAGAUUGCGAAUUAAUCGGCGACCAUCCAGAACGAAUGCUCAGGAUCUGCGUGAAAAAUCGACAAUGACUUCUCUGGCAAUCGAUGCAUCGUUCUGACGAACGCUGUCGCGUUUCGUGAUCGACGAUCAGGUCUGUCGUUCGAAUGGUUCGUGAAAGUGAUAAGAAUUAUGGGUAUAGAAGAUAUACGAUUCCUUUGAGAGAAGCUGAGAGUGAUGGGGCUUUACCAGAAUUGUGGAGGAGAAAUCCUGUUUCCCACUGCACGAGCACUUUCUACGUGACAGUACACUGGAAGCCUUAGUAGAGAGUGCAUUAGUAGAAUUAUUCCGGCAAAAUGCGUCCUUAUUCUAUCACAAAGUUACGAUACAUAUGUAUAUAUAUGUAUAUUUAAAAGUCUAGCUCGAAAAUAUAACUCGAAAGCCUCAGAUUUUCGAAAAAGUUGUAGAGAGUUUCGUCGAAAUAGCAAAGCUAUUCGAAACUAACUGGAGAACUAAUUCAUAUAUUUUUGCACACGCCGCGACAACUAUCUGUAUAUUCUCGGUAUUCGAAUAUCGACCUCGAAGCUGCUCCAACUUAUUCCACGCGUCCUCGACGCGUCAAUCGUUUUCGAGUCGGAGACGCGGCAGACGAAGGGAUACGUAAUGAAUCGAUAAUCGUCCCCGGAGACGGAGAAGAACCGUCUGUCUUGUUCGGUUAAUUAUUCGAUUCUGGUGGAAAGCGGAGCACGGAUGGAGAGGGUUGGAUCCGUCGCCUCGAAAGAGAAGCUUUCGCCGCUUUGAUCCAGCCGGAUAUUUUAAAGGAGCGAUUCAUUCGAGAGGAGAGAGGGUCUUUGCCAACGAACAACGGCUUCGAUCUUCUUUUUCUUUUUUUUUUUUACAGCUCCAGGCCUCCCUUUAAUUGUCUUUGAGGAUGGUUCGCUCGUCGCCGCCUCCUUGAGAAAGCGUCGUCGUUGCCAGGCGUCGUUCCUCUCGAGAGUAUUCCUCUGGGUGACGAGACGAGCCAGCCGGAACAAAUUUCUCCCCUCGGCUUCGGAACAGGGGAGUUUUCCCGCCUUAAAUCACGGGAACGGGUUGUUUAAUCGUCGGGAAACGACAACUCUUGGAUAGAGAGGUCUCUCUCCUUUCUUCUUUCAUUCUCAUUUCUAAUACACGUGGAGGAUUUCCAGAAAAGAAGAGAUCCAUAUCCCGUGACCAUCGACACGAUCCAAUUUUCGUAUAGAAAAGGAUCUUUCCUCGUGCGAGAAACAAGGAAAGAAGGGCGAGGUUAUUCGUAGCACGCGAUGCGUGAUUUUUGUAACGCAGGAUAAUCUACCUCUGUAGCAUUAAAUAGAAAAUGGAAGAAAUAAUUUCGAACGAGUCGAUAUCGAUAUAAUUCUUUUUCCUUUUCGAAGGAGAUGUUUCUACAAUUUCUUAUAAUAUCGUAUGGCGUAUACUUUGUUCCUUUUUCUUUUUCUUUUAACAAGAUAAAUGGUAUAAUUUAACACACAGUUCAAAAUAUAACGUUUAGUUUCGAAGCGUACGAAUACAUCGAUUCGCAAAUUGACCGUAAUUACUUUGUGCUGCCAAUCAAGUAGUGGCUUUGAAAAUAUUGGAGAAUUAGGAUUACAUAAUCCGAAUCAUGGUCUACCGUGUUUCAUUAAAAGCUAGGUGAAACAGUAGCCGCCAUUAGCAAUCAAACCUCUCCAACGAUAAUAUUUACACGGAAACGCGUGUAAAACUCGUGCAUAACGAAUAUCCGAAAACUUGAUUUGCAUUUAGAAUUACGAGUUUAAAGUUUUCGUUUAUUACAUCAUAAUUUAUUCAUCGAUCGACCGAUAUAAUAAACGAGAUGACAAAUUUUAUUAUACAAGAUUUGUUUAUCCAAUCGAAGUGGAAAGACGAGAAUGGAGCAAUUAAACGGAACAAACGAAUCGAUAUUUAUUGCCCGACAAACCGGAAGGAAACACCACGGCUCUCCAUUUCCUUGGUCGCAAGACAACGUUCGAGGAAAAUUGAAUUACGCGACACGUUGCGAAAUGGGAGACCUUAGAGUUUAGCGUCGACAAACUACAAACGCCUGCCUUAUUAUUCAUAUUUCGUCGCCCUCCAUUUCCGCUUCUUCCCUCCUCGUCGAUCAAUUUUCUUUUUUGGAUUUUUUCUUGCUUAUUUUUCGAGAGCGAAAAGAAGAAAAACUUUCAGAAGAGUAUUUGGAAAUUAUUUUUGGAGGACGAUCGAAUCUAAUUCGUAAAGAUAUGGAAAAAUUGUUGAUGAUUAAUAUCUUCUUUCCAUUUUUAGGUUAGGUUACUCGUGUACUUAGAUAUUCUUGGGGUAUAAUCAAGGAUCCUGGCGCGCCGUGGCAGGGAUAAGUCGAGUUUCUGCACAGGUACUUUGCUCGAGAGUCAGUUUAAACCUUGAAAGAGAAGAGGAAGUUUCUUAGUAGGGUAAACGUUUUUAGCGGCAGUUAUCCCUUUUUCUUUCGAAUUCUUUCUUUCCUUUUCUUGGGGGCAUUAACGUGGCAGAACAACGUGGCCGUUCUUCCUCGAGAAGUAAUCAUAGCGUCUCUCUUUCUUUCUUCCUUGUUUCUCAAUUCAAAGAAAAUGUUAAUUUAUUUAUUCGACGAAUUUUAUCUCACGAUAUCGACGCUAACAAUUGGGGAUAGAGGGAUAACGCUCUUAAGAUAUUAUUAUUAAUUCGUGAACCAGAAACUAUACGCUCUCCAAUUAGGGGGGAUCUUGGGGAAUAGUUUAACCGUCAUUAUUAAACUCGCAACAGGAUUCGCCCGAGUUAUCAACAACGUAUCAUCAUCCCGACUCGAAGCUGCGCAAAUUGUUCACUGGCGAAGGAUUAACCAGUCGUUGCGGUUAAUGGUGUUGAAUUGCAUCGUUCGGAGUCGUUUCGAGGAAACGAAGCAACGAGCAACGGUGACGAUAACACCGGAUGCGCCUGGGAGACCGUUCCACGCUGCGCCUCGACGUAACGCAUCGUAAUUAACAGCCACUGAUUAACAAUGGGAUUUAAUUAGGGAAAUGCUCGAGGCGUGUUCGUUAUCGUCCAGCCACGAAUCAAUGCUACUUGUCUCGUAACCUCGAAAACUGUUCUUUUCCAUCCUCCUUUUAUUCUCCCGUCUGUAUAUCCAAUAACACCAAAUCGAAUCGAUCCGAGAAUCAGAGAGAGAGAGAUAUACAUAACAGGAUCACGUAUCGAAAGAAGAAGAAGAAGAAGUUCUCGUUCUCUCUUUCGAAAUAAAAUAUCUCUGUGUAACGAGGGAAUAGAACGCUCGAGGGGAGCCAAUAUCGAUCGAAGAAUACUUCGCUUUGAGACGCGAUUUUUUUUAAAUUUUGUCGAUCGGCGAGGAUUAAAAUAUAUACACGUAAAUUAAAGAUCCCCUCGACGUUUACUUUUUUCCUCGAAUGGAAUGUUAUCUUCCUUUCUCUCGGGAGUUUAUUUCCGCUUGCAGCGACGAGUAAGGUAAACGGAUGAAUUAGUUAGCCGAGUUGGAUAGAGGCGGCGAAAUCACUAGGUGAAGUUGGUCUCGGGGCUGUGGACGGAUGGAAUCCAACGGAUGAUUAGGCAAGUUAAAUACACCCGGUUACAAUGGUAGAACGAUGGUAACUUUGAACAGGGGUAGUUACGGGUCAACGUAGAAUUCGAAAUAAUACGAACGAUCGCGUGGCUAUUUUUCACAAAUUGAAUAAUUGGGACGAAAAAAUGGAAGAUUCUCUUUUGGAUUACGUUUGCAACACAAUUCAACAAAUUGUGUAAAUCAGAAACUAGAGCGAAAGAAGCACGGGUUUCGAACAUAAAGGUAAAUAGAAUACUUUUAGAUUGCAUUUGUAACGCAAUUAUAAUAACCAAAUUGUGUAAAUCGAUAUUGUGAAUUAAUCGAUAAUGCGGCAGUUCGUUUUUCAACAAAAAGAAGAAAAGAUGGUGUUUCUAGAUUUUUUACAUCCGUUAUCAUUUUAUUCGCCGAUUAUUCUUUGUCCUGUUAUGUCCGAAAAAUGAUGAACGCGUUGAUUUUAAAUAUCAAAAGUUGUUGGACAUAUCGGCGAGCUUGUGAUAAAAUUCAAACUUUAUUCCAAAGUAGAAGCUUUACGUAUUGCUUAAAAUUUAUGUAACACGAUUUCACGGAUCAUCGAAUAUCGAAAUGCAAUUUAUGAGAAACGUGUCCAAGAUACUUAUUUUGUCAUACAAAUGAUCGAUGCAUUUAAAAUCUUAUACUUGUUUGGAUCGAUCUAUCUCUACGUAUUUUUUCAUUCUUUCUUUUCUUUUUAUUACAAAUAAAUCCCCUUCCCUCGAUCGAAUUUUUAGUUCAACCUCUCCUCCUUCUUUAUCCCCUUUCUAAAUUAAUCCCCUUCGUUGUCUCGAUGGAUCAAGACAGAUUUCUUCAGAUUAAUCAAACCGCCAUCAUCCACAUGACGCUCCCCUCCUCCUCUUAUCUGCAUAAAGAUAAUUUUUCAUCCUUAACCUCUUCUUCCACCUAUAACACUCGAGAAUAUAUUUAAAAAAAAUUGCAACGAGCUCUCUCUCUAGGAAAAA